GAUGAACGCUGGCGGCGUGCCUAAUACAUGCAAGUCGAGCGAACGGACGAGAAUCUAGCUUCUCUGAUGUUAGCGGCGGACGGGUGAGUAACACGUGGAUAACCUACCUAUAAGACUGGGAUAACUUCGGGAAACCGUAGCUAAUACCGGAUAAUAUUUUGAACCGCAUGGUUCAAAAGUGAAAGACGGUCUUGCUGUCACUUAUAGAUGGAUCCGCGCUGCAUUAGCUAGUUGGUAAGGUAACGGCUUACCAAGGCAACGAUGCAUAGCCGUCCUGAGAGGGUGAUCGGCCACACUGGAACUGAGACACGGUCCAGACUCCUACGGGAGGCAGCAGUAGGGAAUCUUCCGCAAUGGGCGAAAGCCUGACGGAGCAACGCCGCGUGAGUGAUGAAGGUCUUCGGAUCGUAAAACUCUGUUAUUAGGGAAGAACAUAUGUGUAAGUAACUGUGCACAUCUUGACGGUACCUAAUCAGAAAGCCACGGCUAACUACGUG
rnacentral:rRNA from 1 species